rnacentral:snRNA from 1 species
GGAUGUGAGGGCUAUCUGGCUGCGACAUCUGUCACCCCAUUGAUCGCCAGGGUUGAUUCGGCUGAUCUGGCUGGCUAGGCGGGUGUCCCCUUCCUCCGUCACCGGUCCAUGUGCGUCCCUUCCAAAGUUGCGCGCUCAGUCGAAGAGGACGGCCUUCCCCGAAUAGAGACGGACCGGUCUUCAGUCGAGGGUAUACGAGUAGCUGUGCUCCCCUGCUAGAACCUCCAAACAAGGUCUCAAGAAUCUUGGCUCCACACACAUGCAGCAGAGCAAAGGAGACCAGAUAAGUAAAUCUGCCAUGACCUGCUUUUCUACUUAUGGAGAUGUUUCUAAAAUCCUCUACCCUUU